UGAGGAACAUGACCUUCGGCGGGGGAUAGCCGGCCCAACGGCCGGGUAAUACCGCGUACGACCACUCGGGGACAUCCCUAGGUGGUGAAAGCAGCAAUGCGCCGAUGGAGUGCCUCGCGGCCUAUCAGCUAGUUGGUGAGGUAACGGCUCACCAAGGCGACGACGGGUAGCUGGUCUGAGAGGAUGGCCAGCCACAUUGGGACUGAGACACGGCCCAGACUCCUACGGGAGCA
rnacentral:rRNA from 1 species